CUGGAGCUCUCCAGUUGUUUUGUUAUUUUUGUUAGUUUGUCCUGCACUUUGUUUCUGUAACUUAUUAAGUUUCACUCGGGCUGAACUGCUAAGCAUUCGGCAGCACUCCCAGGAUAUUUUUCCUCCAAUUUUUGCACAUUCGGACGUUUUGUGGAGCGUUUUAGCUGGCGGAGCAGCUGCGCUUCUCAGAAAGCGCAAACGCGGGAAGCGCGCUGGUGCGCUGGUGAAACUUCGUCAGCGCGGCCUCAGGACAGCGCUGCCCAGCAUACACCUGGCGAAUCUCCGCUCGCUACCCAACAAGAUGGACGAAAUACACCUGCUUAUCCGGAUAAACAAGGACUUUUCGAACUCUGCUGCUCUGUGUUUCACGGAGACCUGGCUUAAUGGAGCCAUACCGGACAGCGCGCUCCAUCUGCCCGGAUUCCAGCUGAUCAGAGCGGACCGCAACUCAGACGCAACGGGGAAAUCGCGCGGUGGUGGGACAUGCUUUUACAUCAAUGAGAGGUGGUGUACAGAUGCAACAGUGUUGAAGAAGAUCUGCUGUCCUGACCUGGAAGCACUUUUCAUUAACUGUAAACCCUUCUACUCACCGCGGGAGUUUUCCUCGUGCGUUCUGGUCAGUGUUUACAUUCCCCCGCAAGCGCGCGUGUGCGACGCGCUGCAUCAGCUGGCUGAGGAGAUCGCAAACACGGAGCAGCAACACCCGGACUCUGUUUUUAUCAUCCUCGGAGACUUUAAUAAAGCACACUUGAGCCACGAACUGCCCAAAUUCAAGCAGCACAUCAAGUGCCCCACCAGGGAGGGCAAUAUUCUGGACCACUGCUACACCACAAUAAAGGAUGCAUAUCACGCCGUCCCCAGAGCAGCUUUAGGACUCUCUGACCACUGUCUGGUCCACCUCAUACCAACAUACAGGCAAAAGCUUAAAUCUGCUAAGCCUGUAGUGAGAACUGUCAAGAGAUGGACCAGGGAAACAGAGCAGGAGCUACAGGCCUGCUUUGAAUGCACUGACUGGAGUGUUUUUCAAGCUGCUGCCACAAACCUGGAUGAACUCACGGACUCUGUUACAUCUUACAUCAGUUUCUGUGAGGACAUGUGCAUUCCCACCCGGAC
rnacentral:lncRNA from 1 species